GCCGAAGUGGCGGAAUUUGGUAGACGCGCUAGAUUCAGGAUCUAGUGGGCCUAGCCCGUCCCGGUUCGAGUCCGGGCUUCGGCACCA
rnacentral:tRNA from 1 species